AGCGGAGGAAAAGAAACCAACAGGGAUUGCCUCAGUAACGGCGAGUGAAGCGGCAAAAGCUCAAAUUUUAAAGCUGACAUCUUCGGUGUCCGCGUUGUAAUUUUGUGAGGCAUCUCCGGGNAGGGCGCCGGCCUAAGUUCCUUGGAACAGGACGUCACAGAGGGUGAGAAUCCCGUGCUUGGCUGGCUGUCCCCGUCCAUGUGAGGUGUCUUCGACGAGUCGAGUUGUUUGGGAAUGCAGCUCAAAAUGGGUGGUAAAUUUCAUCUAAAGCUAAAUAUUGGUGGGAGACCGAUAGCGCACAAGUAGAGUGAUCGAAAGAUGAAAAGCACUUUGAAAAUAGAGUUAAAAAGUACGUGAAAUUGUUGAAAGGGAAGCGCUUGAGACCAGACUUCGGUAAGGGGUGAUCAGCCGUCCUUCUGGGCGGUGCACUUGCCCCCCUCCGGGCCAGCAUCGGUUGAGGCGGCGGGAUAAAGGUCCCGGGAAUGUGGCUCCUUCACGGGAGUGUUAUAGCCCGGGUGAAUGCCGCCAGCUUCGACCGAGGACCGCACCCGCAAGGGUUAGGAUGCUUGGCAUAAUGGUCUUCAGCGACCCGUCU
rnacentral:rRNA from 1 species